rnacentral:rRNA from 1 species
UCUCAGUACAAGCCGAAUUAAGGUGAAACCGCAAAAGGCUCAUUAAAUCAGUUAUGGUUCCUUGGAUCGUACAAUCCUAUACUUGGAUAACUGUGGUAAUUCUAGAGCUAAUACAUGCAAACGGAGUCCCGACCAGAAAUGGAAGGGACGCUUUUAUUAGAUCAAAACCAAUCGACGUCCGUCCGCUAGCCGGGCGGCGCCGUACUCCUUGGUGACUCUGAAUAACUUUUGGCAGAUCGCACGGUCUCUGAACCGGCGACGCAUCCUUCAAAUGUCUGCCUUAUCAACUGUCGAUGGUAGGUUCUGCGCCUACCAUGGUUGUAACGGGUAACGGGGAAUCAGGGUUCGAUUCCGGAGAGGGAGCCUGAGAAACGGCUACCACAUCCAAGGAAGGCAGCAGGCGCGCAAAUUACCCACUCCCGGCACGGGGAGGUAGUGACGAAAAAUAACGAUACGGGACUCAUCCGAGGCCCCGUAAUCGUAAUGAGUAUACUCUAAAUCCUUAUACGAGUAUCCAUUGGAGGGCAAGUCUGGUGCCAGCAGCCGCGGUAAUUCCAGCUCCAAUAGCGUAUAUUAAAGUUGUUGCGGUUAAAAAGCUCGUAGUUGGAUCUGUGUCCCGCGCCGCCGGUUCGCCGCCUGUCGGUGUUAAACUGGUGUGUUUGCGGGACGUCCUGUCGGUGGCGGUCCGGUGCCUCGUCGACCGGUAAGGGAGUCCAGGCCAGCCUGCGUCGCCCUGAAGGCCGUCGUCCGCUACCGGCCGCCUUGCCAAUCCCGCCGCGGUGCUCUUCGCCGAGCGUCGAGGCGGGCCGGCACGUUUACUUUGAACAAAUUAGAGUGCUUUAAGCAGGCGGACGCCUGCGCCUUGUGUGCAUGGAAUAAUAGAAUAGGACCUCGUUUCUAUUUCGUUGGUUUACGGAAUCUGAGGUAAUGAUCAAUGGGGACGGGCGGGGGCAUUCGUAUUGCGACGUUAGAGGGAAAU